rnacentral:lncRNA from 10 species
GAGAGGGAGAAACCUGCCGCCGCUCGCCGCCUCUUUGUCUGCUCCGGGACUUGGAACAAAAGGGGGAACUCUGAUGAACUCUCUUUCCUCCCCUCUCCCCCGGACGCCGGGGUAUCUCCCUCUCGCAACUUUGCCGCCCCGACUUUCUCUGCUGUCAGGCCGGGAAAAAGUGUCCGAACGCCUCGUGGACUGCAGCGGGGGAAAUGUCCCUUAAAAGUGCGACGAAGUGGGGAAGAAGGUGUAAUUACUAUUAUCAGCAUCUAGAAAGCAUCAUGAAUUUGCUGGAGUACUUCCUAGCACUGACCUCCUUCAUUCUGCGUUGUUCUUACUGGAUCUUUCCAUCAGCCAACAAUAUGGAAGUACCAAUACAAGGUCAAAUCAUUCCUGGAUUCAUCUGGAGUUGCUUAAAAGUUAAAUCAUUGGAAUUUUUGAUGAUACCUUUUCUAUAUGGAUUACAAUUUGAUCGCUGGGAAUUCUCCACCUUAAAGAAGUACCCUCAGGUGACUACAGAUGUGUUAACACCCAGCAUGUUCCGGUAGGAGACUUUCUGGAUGGGGAAGAUUUCCAGGAAUUGGCAACAAGCUCAUUUCACUGGUGGGUUUGCUGAAGCAUUAUCACAAGACAGUCAGAAUGACUGAUGAGUGCUCUUCAGGUGUGAAUCAUGGCAAUACAGUGAAAGACAGUGAUUUACUGCUUUUGAGGGCGUGCAUGUAUAUGAUUAACGGAUGGAAGUGCAGGACUCCAAGAUUUACUUCCUUCCCUUUCCAGCAGAAUUACCUGAGACGAGUAAAAUCUACUGGUGGAGUCACUCCAUUAUUCUUAUCUGUGGAGAUCUAGAUCUUGAUUUGAAAGUUUCUGAGAAAAUCUUCAGCUCAGACUUGAGGGUCAACUUUACCAGCUGAAGGAUCUGCAUUUACUGCUCAACCACAUCUAAUUUGAUGUCCUCUGCAGAUUUAAAAUGUGUGCCUUCUUUUCCGUCACCAAGUCAUCCCUGGGUUACUACUGAACAUCCUUCUCAAUUCCCCCCGACCCAUGGAUGGCUGUUCUCCAUUGUCUGUUUCACCAGAUGUCCUCAAAACAAACAGACAGAAGAAGGAAGUGGCUAAUGGAGCUGUGGAGUCCAAGUGUGACUGCCAAGAGGAAUCCAGCAAAGCCAAAAAGCCCAAGCAUGUAGCCCUGCCCGAAGCACGCCACACGCAUGGAAAACCCAGAGGAAAUGAGUGAGGAUCAAUGGGAAGAAGAGAGCCAGCCAGGAAGUUGAAGAUUUGUCCAGGAGCAGAUAGCUGAAGAGAGAGAGAGAGAAGAGAGAACGGCUUACAGCUCAGGUCCUCUCUCCAUGCUUAGGAACCACUACAAAUGCUACUGCCUUGAGUCUCAUUUUGUUUCCCUCUGGAAACCACAUGUGUACCUUGUUUGCAACAGUAUGGGUAUGGAUGUUUUGGUAGUUCUUACACAUUUAUUUUAAAAUUUAAAGAAGUAGUGCCAUAAAGCUUUAUCAGGAUGUAUUUAAAAUGAAAAUAGUCUCUUGUUAUCUAGCAUGCAACUGAUUCUUUCAAUUUGGUUUGGUUAGUCAGAAUCUUACCAGAAGUCUGUCCAGGUGAUAGGUUAGUUGAGAGCAUCAAGACCAACCAAAAUAAAACAAAAACAAUAGCCUAUGGCAAACUCAUUCUGAUCAUUUCACAUCCUAGAGAAAAGUGCAGAGAAACAAAAAUGAGUCAAUAUUUUAUAAAUUCAGGGUCAAUAUUGUAUGCAAUGUCAAUAGUGUAUGAGUUCCAAAGGUUUUGUGUCACUAUUAAAUUAGAAAUGAUCCAUUUUUAUUCGACGUAUAGUAGAUCGGGCCAUAUAAUGGCCAAUAAAUAAAUAAAUAAAUAAAACCCCCACACCAGAAUACAAAGGAUAGUGAGGAAACGUAUUUUGUACGACAAUUGCAAACCACUUAUGGGCUUCAAUACAAAGUAAUAGAGACCAUCUCUUCUCUUUGGCUUUCCAUUCAUUUUUAGCAUUAGUGAAUUUAUGUCCUGUGCUCUUGACCUUGAGCCCUAAGAGGUGUAUGUCUUUGCCAUGCUUCUGUGGCUACAUUUUAGGAGAGUGAGUGUGCAUUACAUGUCCGUAACCCAGAUCUUAGAUAGUAGAAGGGUGCUGUUAUAAUUUGUGGACAGAGGCUGUAAUUUGGUGCUCAGGGAUUACCUCCUUUGUAUAUGUUUGCCUACUGCAUGCUACCAUUUAUUGUAAGCUUUUUAUUCAUGAUCUUCAUUCUAGUUGAAUCUGUGGAGCUAUUGGUCAUGAGUAGAGAAAUAGAUCUAUAGGGUUUUCUUGAAUGGCAUUUCUCAUUGCUAAUGUGUUCUGUGACCAGCCAGGUUUAUGGAUAAACCCAGUUUUUGUGUUUCUCUGAGAGGUAUGCAUCAAAGCAGUUUUUUCCUCUUCACUUAGGAAUUUUAAUUUUCCUUCAGGGUUCAGUGGGCCAUUUAGUACCUCCAUUAUCUCAUAAGUUAUUCUUACUAUUUAAAUGACUUUUUUUUUUAGGAUGUUAGCAUGUUGGCCCUUUUACUUUUAUUUUCAAAGUCAGACCAAACAAACCAUCAGAGUGCUGUAAAUUUACACCUUACAUUUGUUUGGAAUUCUUUUUAUAUUAAUAUUUUUAGAGUCUUCAUAUGCAAGCAGAAAUUUUCCAUCCCCUCUCCACUGAUCACCAUUGAGGACAGGGCAUGAGAUGGGCAAACCCAUGCUUUUGUGUGCCUGUAAUGGCUAGCCUCUUUGUUACACACUUUAUAUUGGUCGUUAUCUGAUAGAAUUCCAACAAAUGAAAACAUGCCCAAGUUAAAGAAAUUAAAUCUCCUUAUCCAUCACCUUAGAAAAAUGACAACACAGCAUGUAUGUAAUUUAAAAUGACUUGUUGGAAUAUUUAUUGCUAGAUUGGGAGAACAUUUCUACUGAUAAGAAGCUCCUUUGAUUUAUCAAAGUUUUCCAUAUUAUUUGUUAAUUAACUCCAUGUCCUUAAUAUCCACAGCUCAUUUUUCCUAUGAUAAUGACUCCAUUGUGAAACAUAUAAAUAUAAUGAAAAAUAUCCCUACCUGUAUUAAAAAUUGAGAAACCUCAAUUACUUCACACCCAUUGUAUUUUGUAGUCAGCUCAGGACUGUAGUUACAUAACUUCAGUUAUUAUUGCUGGAGCAACAAGAUAAGAGAGUCAUUGAAACAUUGCAAAAGAGAAUGCAGUGGACCAGGGUGGUAAUGUUGUCCUUGUAAUAAGCCUACUCCUGCCAUUGCUGUUAGAUGAAGGUUUUCUUUUUCCAAGUGUUAUAUAAUUAUAUGCAAUUAUUUUUGUCGUUUGGUUUUCCUAUUAUCUUUUUCCUCCUCUUUUUGACACGAAAAUGAUAGUAACUGGAAAAUAUAAACCAAUAAGAUUUGAGCUAUUUACUAUGUUAAAAGAGAAUUUGCCAGGUUUCAAAUUAUUUCCUCAUUUGGAUCUAGCGUGCAGCACUUACUGAUAAGAAUUCUCUAACACAUGUCUAUUUAAAAGUAUUAAAAGUAUUGUGUACACAUUUCAGCAAAUUUUGGCAAAAGGGUGUCCUCUGAUGGGGAAGUGACUGUUCCUUUCUUUUGCCAUUUCCCAGUCUUAAACCCUUGUUUUUACAUCAAGCUCCUUUGUUAAGGAUUCAACAUAAAAGUCUUUGAUAUUAUUGAGUCCAUCUCUGACUCAUUAUUAGCCAACACUUUGUGUCUGGCUGGCAGCUUUUCCGUAAGUGGUAAGGUCAGCCUCAUACAGUAUUGCACAGCCUUUCCCAUUCCUUUUGCGUCAGUGAGAAUCAAAUGAUUCAACAGUGAAAAGCAAACUCUUGGACUGGAAUAGCAAGAUGACCCAUCUCUAAACAAAGCAAACUGACUAGGAUUCUCUCAUGCUUAACAUGCAUCUUACUGGUUCUUUAUGAAGAGCUUUCUCUUGUUCUGGAGACCAGAAGGCCAAAAUCAAAAGUAUGGGCAGGCUUGAUUUCUUUAGAAGACUCCAGCGGAGAACUGUGUCUCCUUGCUUCUGAUUCUACAUCUCCAUCCAUGGGCCACUGUUUCAGCAACCUCAGCCAGUGCAACACAACCUCAGCCAAGAAGAGUAUGCAGAGAAAGGAGUCCCCUACCUGCCACAAAACUGUUGUCUGAAAACUGUCUCAUAUUGUCUCAAGUUGUCAUUCAUUGUGAAUUAGACCUGUUUAACAUGUAAUCUGCAACAUGCUUCACUGUCUAAUUUUCCAGAGCCCCUCAUAUAAGGAACUGUAUUAUUGGUAUAAUCAUCAUGGUGAAGAAGUUGGUAUGUGGGGGAGAGAUGACAGAAACAGAGAGUAAGUCAGAGCUGGCUGCCUGACAGAUAAAAAGGAAAUGACCAAAAAAAAAAAAAAAGACACAGAAGAAUACUUUGUUGUCCACACAGAAAAGGGAAGUGUAGGUAAGACAGCAGUAGACUAAGAUUCUUAAGACUCAAGUUCUAGUCUUAUUUAUUAGCUAUGGGAGGCCUUGAGGGAGUUCUAGAAUUAAGUGAUCUCUCUUUAUAAAAUAGGAACAGUAAUAACUUCCUGGCUAACUCCCUGGCUGUCUCACAAUGCUGUAGUAGUAAGAAAUAAUUUUAUAAUUAAAGACUAUUUUAGGGCUGAUUACAUUUUUGGGCAGUGGCUCAUACAUGUAAUUUCAACAUUUUGGGAGGCCAAGGUGGGCGGAUUGCUUGAGCCCAGGAAUUCAAGACCAGGCUGGGCAACACAGACCUUGUCACUACAAAAGAAAAAAACAUUAGCUAGGCGUGGUGAUGUAUGCCUGUGGUCCCAGCUACUCAGGAAGCUGAGACAGGAGGAUCACCUGAGCCUGGGAGGUCGAGGCUACAGUGAGCCAUGAUCACACUACUGCACUCCAGCCUGGGAAACAGAGUGAGACUCUGUCUCAAAAAAAAAAAAAAAGGAAUAUUUUACACUUCAAGGUUCUAUACAAAUGUAAAAUAUCAUUCUAUUACUUAUUUAUAAUGCUGAUUAUUCUUUAAAUGACUUUAAAAUGUUAAUCUCUGCUUGAGCCUACGGAGAAGUAUGUAACAAAUUUGUGAAGGAUUGGCAUUAAACAUAGUCAAAAUAAAACAUAGAAAUUAUGGUAAAUAAUUUAACUGGUAAAAUAAUCUAAGUGGUAGUUCUCAGGUAAGUGGAAAUUCGAUUAGCUGAUUGUUUAGGAUUCUUGGUUAUAAGUGACAGAGACCUGACUAAAAGUACAUGAAGCACAUAACUGAGAAGGUUGUGGUAUGGCUCAGCAGAAAUGGGAAAAUCUUGGGACUGGUUCGUGUUUUAUUUACAUUAUCUUUGUUCCCAGGCAGUCUCUGCAUGUAAGUGGCAAAGAUGACUGUCUGAAAAUAUAUACCUACUUUUUUAAAGGGCUAUCUCAAGCCAUUCUGGAGAAGCACCAAAAGCCACUUUGCUUAUACUGGGAGAAUAGUUUGCUUUCCCUAAUUUGUGAUGAGUGAAACACUGAACAGAGACAUAGAAUAAUAUUCUGUAGUUCAGGGUUGGUGUAAUAUGGCCAGUGGGCGGAAUCUGGUCCUCAGACUGAUUUUGCAAAUAAUCUUAUAGAAACACAGCAACACCCAUUCAUUACAUGUUGUUUAUGGUUGCUUUGGGGUUACAAUGGCAGAGUUGAGUAGUUGUGACAGAGAUCACUAGGCUCACCACAUCUGAGAUAUGUACUGACUGACCCUGUACAGAAAGUUUGCUGCUCUUAGAGGAAUGUGUGUUUCUAGUGUCAGCAAUAAACUUCUUGGAUUUGUUUUGUUUUCUCAUCUUUACAUGAUAGUUGCAGACUAGUUGAUCCUUGUGACCUGUUUUUGAAUGCCACUGUGUAUUCUGUCAGGGCCCUCUGAUUCUGUUUCUUAUGGUGCUGAAUGCACAAUUUAAUGCCCUGGAAUUUCCUUCUGUCUUCUGCUAAACUCAUGCCUCUUCAGAUAGUUAAAAUCCUGUUCUACCUUAGAAGUCUCCAGAGUUAUUUUCCUAAAUUAAGAAGAACUGGCUUUGAAGUUACUCAUUAUGCCACACACAAUGGUUGAAAAGAGCAUCUCUUAUGUACUGUGUAUAUUUCAGCAUCCACUCAGCUUCUUAGGUAGAAAAGGAAGAGUCUUCCACAGUGUAUUUUAUCCAUAUUUGGGUCAGAAACUCUUCUUUACCACGGAGCGUGAUGGAAGAAAGAUAUGGGAUGGUAACAGUAGGCCAGGGAUGUAAUAAUCACAAAAUUUGAGAUAUUUUGUGACUGGUGACUCACGCCUGUGAUCCCAGCAUUUUGGGAGGCCAAAGCGGGCGGAUCACCUGAGGUCAGGAGUUCAAGACCAGCUUGGCCAAUGUAGUGAAACCUCAUCUCUACUAAAAAAAUAUAAAAAUUAGCUGGGUGUGGUGGUGCACACCUGUAAUCCUAGCUACUCAGGAGGCUGAGGCAGGAGAAUAGCUUGAACCAAGGAGGUGGAGGUUGCAGUGAGCUGAGAUUGUGCCACCACUGCAUUCCAGUCUGGGUGACAGAGCGAGACUCUGUCUCAAAAAAAAAAAAAAAAAAAAUCUAGAAAAAGAUCUCCAAGAUUCAAUCAUCUAAUUAUUUCUUUUAAAAAUGAGAAAAAUGACUCCUGGUCAGCUUUUACCUUCUUUUUCCAACUGUCUUGACAAUACUUUCAUAUUGGGCUUUUAAAGUCUCAAGUAAUAGGUUUUUAAAACCUCAGCUGAUAAAAGUAUAAAAAUAAAGUUAAAACAUAUUAAAGACAAAACCCAAGAAUCAGCUUCCUCUUCCUUCAUUACUCUUGCAUGGGUGUUGGCUCUAAUUUCUCCAUCUAGUUAGGCAGUCCUUUGCUUUUUAUUGCUUGUUUAUUGAUGACAUUUGCCAUUUGUAGCAAUAGUAAUAGAAUCAUCUAUAUAUUUGUGGCCUUGUUGAAUGUAGAAAAAGGAUAGUGGCAUUUUCUAAUUGUGUAACCCUAUAACACCUUGACGGGGGACUACAGUUCAUAUGCUGGACCUUUUGUGUUUGUUCAUGGCGGGUGGGUUGCUUUAAUAUACUUAGCACAUUGUCCUAAUUGCCAUCCUUUUGGGGAGGGCUAUAUAUCCAAGCUAAUAUGGUAGCAUUUUUGUUUUAACAUAGAGCUGACCCAAGGUAGACGUAAGUGUUGUUCAUUUUUGCCUAAUACUAAUAAAAUUACCUAAUUGUUGAAGCUUGGAGCUUGAAUCUAGGCAUUUUAUUUCAUUUCAAGUACACCCUAGUAUUUUAAAGCAUAAAUAUCCUACUAUCCUCAACAACUUUAGAACAAAAAUAAAUAUUUUAACAAGAAAAAAGCAUGCCAUGACAAGCUGUAACUUAGUAAAGAAAGACAAGGAAUGGUCUCUAUAGACCGAGAAAAAAUAGGUCCUCAGAUAUAUUUAUACCAAAGGAAUGUUAUGAAUGUAAAAAACAGUUUGACUCCCCCCCCCCCGCCAAAAAAAAACUCCACAACCCUAUAUUUUGUUAUCACAAGACUGUUUUAGUGAAUAAAACAGUAUGAAUUGGUUUUACCUGUUUCCAUUUAAUACUUAUUAACUUUAUAAUCGUAUAGCCUGAGGGUUUUAACUUCAAGUACAGCAUGAUGACUAUAAUAGUUUUACACAAGGCAAAUGUGAAAAACAGAAGUAAUUUCUUUUAAAAAGUGUGAAAUAUCUAAAAGGUAUGACUUCAAUACAUCAACUCAGGUGAGACAGACAUGUAACUUCUUUUUCCAUGUUUAAACCUAAUAUUGCUUUUGUGCCUCUGAAGGCUCGGAGUUUCCAUGCCUUCUUAGGACAUGCCACCCUCUCCACACCUGGAUGUGUUCACCAACCCAGAAGCUCUUGGAACCCCAUCAUUUGGGGUUUUUAUGGAGUCCCCAUUAAGUAGGUAUGACUGAUUAAAUCACUGGCCAUUGGUGGUUGACUCAAUCUCCAGCCUCUCUUCCCUCUCUGAAGGUGAAGGGGUGGGAAGGUGAGGCUAAGUUCCAACCCUCGGAUCACAGGGUUGGUUCCUCUGCAACCAGGCUUCAUCGUGAAACAAUACAGGGCCCACCGAGAGUCACCCCAUUAGCAAACUCAGAUGUGAUUGAAAGGGGCUUAUUAUGAAUAUCAAAAGACAUUUCUCUUUCUCCUAUUACUCAGACAGUUACAAGGGUUUCAGAAGCUCUUGCACCAGGAACUGGGAACAAAGACCAAAUAUAUAUGUCUUCUUCUAUUACAAUGUCACAGGUGUGACAGAGUAGGUAAAUGGAGUCUCAGAGAGUCCCCAGAGUAUUCCAUGGAGCCACAAAAUGAAGAAUAAAUGGAUGGUUCUCCCCAUGAUCAAAAGUGGCCUGAAAAUACUUGAGAAUGAGUCAUAACUUAAAAGGCUGUAUAGUAGAAAAGAAUGCACAGAGGACCGAAUGUAAAAGAAGGCACCCCAGUCUCAGCUAGUGUGGAUGCAUGCCAGUGUAGAAAGAUGCUAGUGUGGCUACAUUGGUGCACUGAAGACCAAACUCCUGCAUGGCCCCACAUCCUUGAUACCUUAGAUCUAUAUCAUCCCCUAAAACUUAGGUGUUAUGACAUUCAGGAUAUGCUACCCCAUCAUUUUUUAGGCUGAAGGAAUUUGAGAAAACAGAAGCAGGAAUGUAAUUGCCCAGUGGGUUCUUCCUGCCCUGUGCACAGACAAAACCAGUUCACUGAGACCAUGGUAUUGCAGUUAAGAAAGAGUUUAACAGGAGGCUGGCCACAUGGAAGAAUUACAGUUAUUACAAAUUAGUCUCCCUGAAGGCUCAGAGGUCAGGGUUUUUCAUGGAUAGUUCGGUGAGCAGUGGAUUAGGGGUAAGUGCUGCUGAUUGGUUGGGGAUACAAUCAUAGGGGUGUGGAAAAUGGUCCUUGUGUGCUGAGUCACCUCUGGGUGGGAGGCCAUGGGACCCAUUGAGUCAUGAGUCACGAGGCUGGGUUGGGUCAGUGUGAAAAACAUCUCAAAAGACCAAUCUUAGGUUCAAAAUAGGUGAUAUUACCUGUAGGAGCAAUUGGGAAAGUUAUAAAUUAUAUGACCUCUUGGCCCCAUGACUUCUGAGCAGUAAGAGAUGAUAGAAACUAAACCUACAUUUUAUCAGCACUCAGGCCUCUUCCAUAAUCCUAAUCUUGUGGCCUUUCGUUAGUCUUAUAAAGGUGGUUUGGUAACUGCCCUCAAGCAAGGAGGGGAUCAGUUUUAGGGAGGUGCUAUUAUCAUCCUUGCUUCAAAGUUAAGCUGUAAACUAAAUUCCUCCCAUAAUUAGCUUGGCCUACACCCAGAAAUGAGCAAAGACAGCCAGCCUGUGAUGUUAGAAGCAAGAUGGAGUUAGUCAUGUUAGAUUUCUCUCACUGUCAUAAUCUUUGCAAGGGAGGUUCCAGGAAGGUCAUCCUACCUUUCCCCUCACCCUUCUCAUGUGACACAGGUCAUAAAGCCUAGGAAGGAUUUUCCGACCUUUCCCUGAAGCAGGUCGUAAGACCCUCAUUGGGGAGGUGCCAUUUCUAGACCAAGAGAAAAGGCACAUCCUUAUGUCUGAAGACACAGGGACACAGAGAAGAAUCUGAACAAACAGGUCUUGCUAAGUUCCCCCCAGUUUGUUUUCAUUAGAUCAUGCCCCUUUAUUCAAUGCUGUUUCUCCACAACUAUCCAUUUCUUCAUCAAGCCUAGCAUAAAAAAUACAGGUUUCACGGUUUCUUUGGGUCUUCAUUUCCUUAUAAAGUCUCCUGUACCAUGUAAAACUUAAAUAAGUUUCUCUGCUUUUCUCUUGUUGAUUCUGUCCUUUGUUUUAUAACCCUCAGACAUGAACCUAGUGAUGAGUGAGGGGAAGAUAAUUUAUUUUCCUCUACAGAUGCAAAAGGGAAAAGGGAACAAUCCCUAAACGGAAGUUAUGAUCCAGGGAUCAGAGGCUCAAAAGCAAGAUUAGGUUUAAAUGUAGAAAAAUACAUUCCUCUUUCAUUUUAGAUAUCCCAAAUGCCCAAAUCAACCCAGCUAUUUCUCAGAAGUCUGUUUCCCCUCCACCCUCUGCUCCUCUGUGUAGUGAAACUGUCUCGUUUGGGAGUAAAAUGGCCUGGCUUUCCUUACUGAGUAUACUCUCAAGACUAUUGCCUAUUACUUUUUUCCAUUCCUUCUUGAGAACUACGCUUUUUAAAACAAGAAUUGACUCCAUUUAUCUUUUUCUUUUAGCCUUCUGCUGGGGUAUGCCUUCUCUAAAGCAAUGAAUAAAAAAUGCUUUAGCUGAAUAAAUGGGGCAAGGAUCAAGGAGUACAAGCUAAUAUUUCACAAUAUUAUCCUGCCAUAAAUAAAAGUAUGGUUUAAAUGACAAUGGUGGGGUUAGGAGUUACAGGUCACUGAAACACCACCUUAUUCAUGCUACCAGCCCCUUGGCUUUCCUGAUGGCAGCAGGGAAGCAACACAUAGGUAGAAUUAUGAGCCAACAUCGUGACUGGAGAGGGAUUGAAAAUCUUAUUUGUUGUCUUCCUAGACUAUUACAGUUAUCUGUUGAAAUUAGACUCAAUUCUUUGGCGAAAGUACUCAUUUUUAAGGUCCAUAAUAAAUUGUAACUAUGUAGCCUUUGUUGCAUGAGUUUAGUAUGAGCUGAUUGGUGGGCCACAGUGAAAGGCAGAGGGAAAUGGAUGUUAACUAAGAGGUAGAAGUCCCCUUGAAGUUCUGACCCUGUCACUAAUGAAGUCUUUAUUUCCGUAUUUAGUAAUUGCCUUUUUUUUUUUUUUUUGAGACAGAGUCUUGCUCUGUCGCCAGGAUGGGGUACAGUGGCACAGUAUCUGCUCACUGCAACCUCCGCCUCCCAGGUUCAAGCAGUUCCCCUGCCUCAGCUUCCUGAAUAGCUGGGACUACAGGUGUCUGCCGCCAUGCCUGGCUAAUUUUUGUAUUUUUAGUAGAGACGGGGUUUCACUAUGUUGGCCAGGAUGGUCUCGAUCUCCUGACCUCGUGAUCUGCCCACCUCAGCCUCCCAAAGCUAGGAUUACAGACGUGAGCCACCAUGCCCGGCCAACUGCCUUCUUUAUAUCUCAUUUUAAAAAUUUAUAACAAAGAAGUGGGUUGAUUUUCAAGACCUAGUUGUGUUAGUUUGAAUGAGAUGCAUACAUUUGGCAAGUCUGGGGUCUAAGAAAAGAUAAAGAUCUGAAUGCUGAAAAUCUAGAGAAUUCAGGUUACUGGGGGAUAACUUAAAGUCACUAGGGAAUUCGGGUUACUGGGGGGAUAACUUAAGGUCACUAGGGAAUUCGGGUUACUGGGGGGAUAACUUAAGGUCACUAGAACCCAAAUGCAGGGAAGAGUUGGGUGCUCUUUGGCAAAUAAACAUUCCUGACUUAGCAUUUUUCUUAAACCCGAACGUGCCAGCUGUUUUUUUGUUUUUUUGUUUUUUUGUUUUGUGACCUCAGCCAGGCUUGCGUGUUUAUUCAUCACAUAUUCUAAGCUCAUAUACAACUGUGACCUGAUCCAGCCUUCAAGGAACUCACUCUUGAUUUUAGGAAUCUUUCCACCACUUCGAUUUCAUCUUACUCCUGAAACAGUCAGCCAGAACUGUCUAAUUCAGUCUAUACUUCUGAUACAAAACUCUACCCAGCAACCACUAUGGUUUUGUUGCUUUAGGUACGUGUUAGAAAGCACCCACAUCAAUUUACAGAAAAUCCUUAACUGAAUCUCUAGUCCCAGAGGAGUCAUAUUUUAUUAUAUGGUGCUUUUUAUUUAAAGAGAUCGGUUUAAUAGAAAUUACUCAGGCAUUUGAAGUGAUAGCUUUAAAAUGUGGGACUGGGGAAAAUAAGAACACUUGACCUCUCUCCAUAAAAUUGAAUUGUUCUUUAGGUUUAAAGUUUUGACAGACAAAGAGAAAGUGAGAGCAAGUGAGGGUGAAAAUAUAUCCUUAUUUGGUAAUGAGUACCCAUUAAGAGGACAGUAUAUUACAUUUCAUCUUCUUACUUCACAUUCCUGUUUUAAGGAUUUGUGAGCAAAGUGCUGUGAGACCUCUAGAGUUAAGAGGCUGGAGAUAGGUAGUUUUGAUGGUAUUUUAAGGAGUGCUCCAUAAUGUGUAGUGUCUGAGUGCUGAAGCUUAAUCAGCUUCAAUUAAAUCCAAAACAUACUGAAUAGCUCCUAUGUGUCUGGCAUUGAGCUGUGUGCCAAAGUGGUGGAAAGAUGUAAGAGCCACUGAGGCUUAGAGAUGAAAAGGAUCUUGGAGCCACUGGUUUCCUGCCUGCUGGAGUUUCACCAUCAAGGACCCUUUCGUUAUUUUCCUUCUCCCAUGCAUUUUAUUAAAAUUUUUGGUUUAGUAAACCAAAUUCACUAAUGGGAUGUUAUUUUCAUAUCAAAGAGUAUAAUUCUGCCAAUCAAGGCUUCUGAUCAGCAUAAAAUAAUUAGGUUUCAUACUGAAUGCACAAAUUCUAGUCAAAAGCAAAGCCAUUUGAUGACAUGUCUGCUAUGUUGCCAUUUGCUUUAAGAGAGGUAAAGGUAGCCUGACUUCUGUUCACUCUGUAGUACAGAAUACAUUGUUAACAAGUCAUAGGUAUGUUCUUUUAGGUUUCUAAUUACUGUCAGCCUCUCAUUUCAGACAGGUGAUGUGAUAAGGUGAAAUGAUUACUAUAUUUAGACUCAAAAGUCCUGAGUUUGAGUCCUCGUUUAACGAUCUAGUCCAUGAGCUUCAGUUUUCUCACCUGUUAAAUGGAAAUGAUGAUUAUUUCCUGGAAAUUGCAUUUCCAGGUUGUUUUGAAUGAUAAAUGAUAUGGUGUAUAUAUCAGCUGUUUGCAAACCAGAAAAAGCUAUUCUAUGGUAAACACAUGCAGUGGGCUGAAUUGUGUCUCCCAAAAUUCAUAUGUUGAAGUCCUCACCCCCAGGGCCUCAGAAUGUGACUGUAUUUGGAUCUAGGGUCUUCAAGAGAUAACUAAGUUAGAAUGAGGUCAUUUGGGUUGAUCCUAAUCCAACUGACUGAUAUCCUUAUAAGACGACGAAAUUUGGAUACAGAAAUACACAGAAGACAGGGAGAAGAUGGCCAUCUACAAGCUAAGGAGAGAGGCCUCAGAAGAAACACACCUGCCACACCUUGAAUUUGGACUUCUAGCCAUCAGAACUGUGGGAAAAUAAAUUUCUGUUGUUUAAGCCAGGAGUCCUCAACCCCCGGGCUGUGGACCUGUACCAGUCGGUGGCAUGUUAAGGACUGGGCUCCACAGCAGGAGGUGAGUGGUGGGCGAGUGAGCAUUACUGCCUGAGCUCCACCUCCCGUCAGAUCAGCAGUGGCAUUAGAUUCUCAUAGGAGCACAAACCCUAUUGUAAACUGAGCACGCAAGGGAUCUAGGUUGUGCGCUCCUUACGAGAAUCUAAUGCCUGAUAAUCUGAGAUUGAACAGUUUUAUCCCCAAACCAUCCCCUCCACCACCCCCGUGGUCUGUGGAAAAAUUGUCUUCCACAAAACUGGUCCCUGGUGCCGAAAAGGUUAGGGACCAGCGGCUCAAGCCACCCAGCCUGUGGUACUUUGUUACGGUAGCCCUGGCAAAUGAAUACAACACGUUUUAGACUAUGAUGUUACACAUGCAGUGUGUUGAGAGCCAAAGAACCCAAAUGAUUCGUGGUAUCUGCCCUUGAAGAGUUUUUAAUCUUUUUGGGCAUGAUGAAACAUACACAUGGAAAAUAAAAUAGCAUAUAACCAAGUGCCCAAAUCAGUAAUAAAUACAGUUGACUCCAUAAACAUUUAGGAACCUUCUAUCCCAUGUUUCCACAUUCUAUCCCAGUGGCUUUUGCCACUAAAUUUCUUCACCCACUAUUAGACUGAUGUUUUCAUCUUUCAGUAUCAGACUCAAGCUUUAAUCUAGAAAGAGGGGGUGGGGGGAUAAAUGCUAUACUUUGGAACCAGUCCGGAUAUUUUAAGUAUGUUUUUAAAAAGUAUAAUCCUCACAACAUGAAAGUUAUUAGUUCUAUUUUUCAGGUGAGAAGAGUUAAGGUCAAACAGACGAAAGCUAGUUAGUGGAGGGACUGGUAUUCCAAGCCCAUUCUGGUUAAACUAAAUCUUGUGUUCUUUCCACUAGAAAACUGCUUUUUGUCUUAAUUAUAAUUUUGUGACAAGGAUGUAUAGUCCAUUAAGGAAUAUAUACAACAGAAGAAGCAUUUAAGUGGACUUGAGGUUUGUGAAUCUGAACUAGUUUCUAUCGACUUUCACAUCAGCAGCUCCUAUUCUGGGGAAAGAGAAUGGAGGCUGGGAGUGAUCCUGACAAACCUUGAUGUGCAGGCUUGUGGAGAAACUGGAUUCACACCCAGGCUCGUGGAGUGUGGGAGAGGCUGGCCUGUCACAAUAUCAGGACAGCCUCUCUUAAUAACACUGCAGAAGGAAUCGAGGGCCCUGUGGUUUGCGUUUGUUAGACUUUGGAUGGUGGAGACCUGUGCCUGCUACUUCUCUCAUCUCCUGAUACCUAAUGCAUAGUGUUCAGUAAGUAUUUAUUUGGUGAUAACAAUAUCAAAAACUAGAUAAUGCUUAGAAGAUCCAACACCUUCCAAAAUCUCUGUUAACCAGGUACUGAAAUAUGGUCAACCAGAUGAGCUGAAAUGUCAAGAACUUAUAGACACACAUGGUUUCAUGGUUGUGAAACUAGAAGAUGUGGCAUAUUUUACACAAUGGAGGGAAGAGCAAAGGUUAUGCAUGUGCGGAGGCAGAGCCCCUAGGCAGGUUUCCCUCUUUUCCUUCCUGUGCACUGAUUUUUAUUUUGGUGAACUGAAACAGGGGUCUAACAAACUGGUAUCUCAUUUGUCUUUAUAAACAGAACUGCCAGAUUGGCUUUGCAAUUCAGGGCCCUGUAGGGUGCCCACCUCCUCAGUUUGGGCAGCAGCAUUACAUCUGAGUCUUAGAAUAAAAAUGGAAAGCAAUGGCUCAACCCAUUGGUUUGUCACCAUCCACAUGAAGGAUCUCUAUUGGUAAAAAAACAGACUCCCGUGUUCAAGGCCCUGGGGCUGGAAUCAAAUCCAUCAUUCAUUUAUUUCGGUUUUUUAAGGCUAAAUACAUAGGGAAGAAAAUGAAAUGUGAGAAAGCUGUGCAUUUUCAAUGUCAUCUUGAAAGUGAGUAUCUUUAGACACAUAAAGUAGAUGAGUGGUUAACUUGGGCUGGGAGAGGGAGUGAGGAGUGGUUGUACAUGGCACAAGGUUUCUAUUUAGUGUGAUUGAAAUGUUCUAUAAUUUGAUUGAUGAUUGUACAGUUCUGUAAAUAAACUAAAAUGUAUUGAAUUGUAUAAUUAAAACAUGCAGAUUUUAUAUUUAAAAUAUACUUUGAUAAAAGUGUUUUAAAAAUGAAUAUCUCAUAGGGUAGAAUGAAAUGAAUAAGAGAAACAGUGAGGCAUCCAGGGGACUUUCUGCACAGUGGGUCUGUCAUUAGGCAGGUACGUUGCCACAGCCAGUUCUAAUGCCCACUCAUAGGCCAAUGCCUAGGACAAUUGCUCAGAUAUCGCCUCUGACAGGCAAGUGUUCCAUCAGUAACAGCAGGCAUCGGAAGAUGAUGCCAUUCCCUGCUGUUAGUAUGAUUAUAUUGACUUAGGUUUUUAAUUUUCUUUCUUGCUGUGUUUUUUUUUUUUCACCUUCUUAGCCUCUAAAGCAUGAACAUCUGUGUUUUUCAG